rnacentral:lncRNA from 1 species
AAACCUUCUAGAUUGGUUGCUCCUCAAGAAGUACCCAAUGAAGGUGCAUCCGAGCUUGGAUGACAAUGAUAAGAAUAAACAAGUGAAUGAGGCUAAGGUACAUGGUUACCUUCGGCUAGAAUGUUAGAAUGCAUUAGGAACUUUACUCUUUUUGGUAAAUUGAAUAUUGUCUUUUUGCAACAUAAUUGAAUGAAUGUUUCAUCUAGAACUUAAAACCACAAAUUGUG